ACAAUGUUCGUUUUGGACAAAGCAUUCUAUAUCAGUACGCGGUUUGAAUGUUGUAAGACAUUGCAAAAUUAAGAAUGAUGAUGAAUUGAGCAAGAUACAAUCAGGCCACUGCACAUUUUUUUAUAAAUUCAGCAUAUGGAUAACACGGUGCUCUUAGAGGUGCAGAUAAUAUAAAAGACUGCAAAAAUCAUAGUGCUGGAUUUACAACGUACCUAUCACGACAUCUUGAUCAUCAUCAAGCUUUCCCUGAUGAGCGGCGCACUUUUGGUGGUUAUUUUCUUCUACAGAAUUGAUCAAUAUACAAUUAGGCUACUGAAAAAUGUUUUAUAAAUUCGGGAUCUGAAUAUAACAUGGUGUUAUAGAGGUAAUUGCUGUAUAUUUUUAUUCCUAGAAUCGAAUUAGCCAUUACUAUUUAACCGUUCUUUUACUGAUUCUUUUCAUGUCGUCCGUUUUCAUGCUAGAAUAUGGCAAAACACAACAGGAAUAAUAGUCUUGCAUGGAAUUCACAAGUUACCUGUCAUUACUACUACAUCCUGAUGAUCGAAGAGCGUUCCCUUAAGAGCAGCGUCUAGAUUUUCAUUAUUUUCUUCUAUAGAUUUAAUGAAGAUACAAUCAGGUUACAGCAUAAUGUUUUAUAGAUUCGCUAUCUGCAUAAUAUGGAUUUAUUGCCAUGUAGUAUACUUUGGCCUUAUACUUCGGGAAUUAGCACUAUAGAAUUAAUAGUAGAGUACCAUGGUGUUCUAAUGGAUUACUAUUUUCGACUUAGGAUGGAAUUAGCUUAUGCUAUUACAGGAAUGACGGUACUUAAAUUCACAAUUUACCCCUCACUAUCACGUUUUGACAAGCGGUUCCUGAUUGUUCUACAUUUUCCGCUACAGAAUUGAAGGAAAUACAUUCAGGUUUGAAUGUUGUAAGACAUUGCAAAAUUAAGAAUGAUGAUGAAUUGAGCAAGAUACAAUCAGGCCACUGCACAUUUUUUAUAAAUU